rnacentral:rRNA from 1 species
ACGAACGCUGGCGGCGCGCCUAACACAUGCAAGUCGCACGAGCGAGAGAGAGCUUGCUUUCUCGAGCGAGUGGCGAACGGGUGAGUAACGCGUGAGGAACCUGCCUCAAAGAGGGGGACAACAGUUGGAAACGACUGCUAAUACCGCAUAAGCCCACGACCCGGCAUCGGGUAGAGGGAAAAGGAGCAAUCCGCUUUGAGAUGGCCUCGCGUCCGAUUAGCUAGUUGGUGAGGUAACGGCCCACCAAGGCGACGAUCGGUAGCCGGACUGAGAGGUUGAACGGCCACAUUGGGACUGAGACACGGCCCAGACUCCUACGGGAGGCAGCAGUGGGGAAUAUUGCACAAUGGGGGAAACCCUGAUGCAGCGACGCCGCGUGGAGGAAGAAGGUCUUCGGAUUGUAAACUCCUGUUGUGGAGGAAGAUAAUGACGGUACUCAACAAGGAAGUGACGGCUAACUACGUG